CUCAGAGUGAACGCUGGCGGCAUGCCUUACACAUGCAAGUCGAACGGCAGCACGGGGGCAACCCUGGUGGCGAGUGGCGAACGGGUGAGUAAGCAUCGGAACGUGCCUGGAGUGGGGAUAACGUAGCGAAAGUUACGCUAAUACCGCAUAUUCUGUGAGCAGGAAAGCAGGGGAUCGCAAGACCUUGCGCUCUGGGAGCGGCCGAUGUCGGAUUAGCUAGUUGGUGGGGUAAAGGCCUACCAAGGCGACGAUCCGUAGCGGGUCUGAGAGGAUGAUCCGCCACACUGGGACUGAGACACGGCCCAGACUCCUACGGGAGGCAGCAGUGGGGAAUUUUGGACAAUGGGCGCAAGCCUGAUCCAGCCAUGCCGCGUGAGUGAAGAAGGCCUUCGGGUUGUAAAGCUCUUUCAGCCGGGAAGAAAACGCAUGGGUUAAUACCCUGUGUGGAUGACGGUACCGGAAUAAGAAGCACCGGCUAACUACGUG
rnacentral:rRNA from 1 species